CCACUGUGUGGGAAUAUACUGGGUAGUUGUUGUUGUUGUUGAAUGUCAUUGUGAGAUAAGCUGCAGAAGCGGAAGUGGAUGCAUUCCACUGUAUAUUGUUCCUUUCUUCCUCACUAGCAUCAACAACUUCCUCCUUGAACCUCUUCCAAUCGUUAGCACAAUAUCGGAGCAGGUAGAUGUAGUGUCUUCCAAUGGCAGUUUUGUUGUGUAAGUAUGGGAUCUUGUUAUGUGUUCCUUCAAUUUCGAUAAAACAAAGAGACUUUGAAGGAUUUCCAUUCAUACUGUUGAGACACUUGGUGCAAAUUUUUUGAAGGAUUGCGUUUUUUCGUGUAGAAUAUCCCGAGCUGAUGUAUGCAGAAAGAACUGGUGUAAAUAACGAAAUAUUUACAGUUGUACAAUAUUUUUAAAGGCAGAGGCUAGAUACAAAAAUAAAAUUUCAAUUAUGAGGAGAUUAUGCUUUUAAUUCCUGCUUUUUAUUAACUAUUAGAGUUUUUCUUCUUCUAUUUGUAGCAACCACAGUGAAUGCUACAAACUACUUGCCUUGUGACUGCUCUAUCCCUUCACUGUUUAUUUAUAUGUUUCAUAACCAUCGACAUUGUGAUGGCAAAAUGAAAAUCCAAAUUGGAUACACCAUUUUUGGACUGAGUUUAAUAGUUCUGAUAUGGAUCAUAGUAUCAUCGACACAAUUAACCAUUCAAUUACAUGCUUCAAGGUACAUAAUGUAUAUAUAUUCAGAAAUAAAACAGGGUGAAAUACCACCUUUAUGUGCAUUCAGAAGUAAAACAGGGUGAAAUACCACCUUAGCUAUAAGAGGCACUCAUUAAAGGGUGAUGUAGAUAGUGAAGUGACUAUUGUUUCUACUCCAUCUGUUGUAUGUUGAUCUACAUGAGGAAGAGUCUCAACAGUGGCAUAUCCUUUAGCAUUCUCAUACUUGCCAGUCCCUCCAAUGAUGGCAAUGUGAGAAAUAGGUGAGGCUGUCCUGUGAACUCCAAAAUGUGCUGUCGAGGACUCGAGGCUCAAGUGUGGCUGGUGCCAUUCGAAGAUCUCAUGGAGUAAAGUCCUUGUGCCUUGCAAAGAACAGAUGAUCCCAGUUCAUGCACCUCAGUUAUUUCAUUGUCAACAACAGAUUGAGCCAAAGGUGAGCUGGUGAAGGGACAAGCCAGCAGGAAGCCGUCCAGCUGUUACAAAAGGCUGGCUGUUAGUUUCCACCCAUUAACUACGUUGUUGUUGCCACAUUUUUUUGUAGGACAGUGUUAGCUUGUUGCUAAUUGAGGCCUAAAAGGAAUGGAUUAUUUAAACAUGGCACUACAAUAGCUUAUUGAUGAAAUGACUAUGGAAAUAUAGGAAGGGAAGAGAAUGCACUUUGGAGGAAAGUAGUGUGUUUCAGUGAUGGAGGUAGCUACUGGCACUGCCCCGGACGAACCUGAUUCAGCCAGUAGAUCUGCUGGAGGAGCCAUGUGGAAGCAGGGAUGGAGGGAUCAGCAACAGGUGCUAAGGUGGUAUCAGAAGUAGUGACAGUAGUUGGUAACCGGUUACUUGGAAAUGUGGCAAUUGGUGCCACCACAGUAGCCACAACAGGAUCAACCAUUCAUGAUGGAUUAGACAGCGGACGCACAUCAUCAAGGAUUCUUGCUGAGUUGACACAGCCAAAGCUGAGGGCUAGGAGCAAAAUGCAGAAGGUCGCUUGGAGUGUGUUAGAGGUGAGUUGGGAAAGUUUAGCCAUCUAUUUUCUUGUGAAAAAUUCUUGGAUGAUAGAUGAGAACAAACAAAUGAAGAGUUUAGUAGAUUCUUGAUUGAUGAGGAAAGAGUGAAGGCUCAAUGGAUAUAUAUAGUUUGACUAUGAGGCGUUUUCUAUAAGGAGUGAUCGAUACCCUGAUAUAUAUCUUUUGUUGCAAAACACCAAAUCUGAAACUUCAUUGUCAAAAGAGCAAGAGGUAAUACAUGAUAUUGAUAAAGUAAGGUAGAUUAUUCAAUCUCAAAAAAGGUAAGGAAGAUUAUUUGGACGCAAAUCAAGGUAAAAUGGCUAACCUUUAAUACUCUCUUUUCUCUGAAUGAGCUUGGCGGUAACUUUUAGGUGAAAGUCAUGAUUCUUGUGAACUUAAUGAUUCUUUACUUGUCAAUCAAAAGGAAUGAUAUGAGCAUGCACUAGUUGAUUCUAUUUGUGAAAAUAAUGUUGGAAAAAAAUGGUGAAUCUAAAUAAGUCCCUCUGGCAAUAAAAUUAUGCAUGAAAUUGUAAGGUUGGAGAGUCGCUUUCUGAUUAAAUGUGAUGUUAUUGAUCAUGGCUUUUCCUUGAUACCGAUCAAGCAUUUGGGUAAAAAUUAAACAGGUGCUUUCCAAGAGUAGCUUGUUGACAAAAACUGGGACACAGAUUCCACAGAAUUAAAUCCUUUCUUCCCGUAGACAUUUCAACAAACACUUGAUGGCCAUUACAGAAGCAGCAACCAAACAACAGGAGAGUAAAUAUGGCAGCUUGUUCUAGCAAAGGAGGGUGCCCAAGUGAUUAUGCACUAUAUAGCACUUUCAAUUUCGGUAGUGUCGUUGAUCUUCUAUCUUUUUCAGCUAAAUCCAUCAGCCUCUAAGUUUAUAAGGCUGCAUAUACUAAAAAUAUUUGCUUCUCACUAAAUAGAUGUAAUCAGUAUAUUGUGGUGUAGUUUAUCUCCUGUUUUGCUCCCUUUGAAUAGAUUUUAGCUUUAAUUGUUACCUUGCGUUAUCUGAUUGAUGAAGAUGGAAUCUUUGACAAACUGAAGGUAUUUUUUUAUUUUUAUAUUUCUGCUGAAUUCAAGAAAACAUCGUAUCUUGCUGGAAACUUUUUCCCCUUAAUAUGAGUUAUAACCAGUGGUGGAGCUAGGAAUUGAAGAAGGGGAUUUGAAUAAAAUAAGAAUGUUAUACUUCUGCUCUGAACAUAUAACCUAAAACGAUUUUCUAACCUUUUUUGCCAUUUCACUAUAAUUUUCCUUAUACUGGAUUCAACAAUUUAUUAUGUAUAAGCAAAAAAUUCAUAUUUUCCCUAUUUCCAUUGUAUAAUUUCCCGACGAAGGGGAUGAAAUUGAGCUCCCUUGCACCCCUUAGCUUCGCCCCUAGUUAUAACUAGCGGCAGUGCUAGGUGGAGGCAAGGGGGUUCAAUUGACUCCUUUGUGCCGGAAAUUAUAUUGUGCGAUAUGGGCAAAAAUGAUUUUUUGGUUAUAUAUAACUCCUUGACAUAAGGAAAGAUCCUAAUUUAGUGAUAAAAGGAGAUUCAAAAGUUGCUUUGGGUUAUAGGUUCAAAUCUUUGAUGUUUGAAUCCUCUUAUGUGAACUCCUUGCUCCCCUAGUGGUUACAACGAGUCUGGUUGAGAUGGAAGUGAUCAAGCUCGGGAAUAUGAACCUAGCUUCCUUUUGUUUCGAUCAUUUGACAAAGCAGGAUGAAGAAGGUGCAUUUUAUGAUUUUUGUGUGUUUACAACAUCUAUUGCUUCUGACUAGAUGGAUAAAAUGGAGGUGGGAAGAAAAUACAUAAGUAGAGCUAGCUUCCACCUGUCUUCUUCCCACUUUGAGUAUGCCAAUGGGGCAAGGCGGGGGAAGUCUUAGCAGGAUGGGGCAAGACGGGCGUUAAAAAUUAUGAACUUUAAGGUUCUUAAGUCUUUUCUGAUUUGAUUCCUUUUAAAGUUUCCAAUUCUUUUGGUUUAUGCUAAUAGUGGAUGUAAAACUAGCAUCUUUAAUAAAUUGAUAUUUUGCUUAUCUCCCUUAAAUGAUAAAGAAAAUGUGUUACAGAAAAAUGAUGUUAUUGAAUGGUGAUACAUCAAAAGGAAUUUUACGUAGUAGAAGAAUUGCAACAACAACAUACGGGCAUCAGUGUGGGGUCUGGGCUAGUAAAAGAAUUAGUAAUGAUAAAAAAAAUAAACAACAUAAACUAAUGAAAGAAGAAAGCUUAAUAUGGCAUAGUAGAAUAUAACAUAAUGGGAUGGGGUAAGGUGAGAUGUGUCUGGUGAAAUCAUACCUAUCUCUUCCCAUCGACAUCCCUAACUUUUUUCUUCUUAAACUUGCUCCCAUUUGUAAGGACGAAGCUGCCAAAAUUUUGUUGUCUUGUCCCUUUCUUUACUUAAUUGGGUGGUAUGGGUUCAAAGACUAAUAGCAUAUCCAGAGGCAUGAUGGUGAUAGAGGGUAGGAUGUAAGCGAAGGAGAGAGCAAAAUAAUAGAAAUGUGCUCCAUUUUUUGAAAACUGUAAAGGGUGAUACAAGAGGAGGUUUGGUAGGUUGGGAGUGUCUUACGGUUUUGUAGUUCAUUCCGUUGGUUAUUUUCCCUUAUGCUUAAUGCUUUUUGGCUUAGUGCUUUUCGCCGACCUCAACUUGUUUGGGACCGAGGCGUAGUAGUAAUAGUUGUUGUUAUGCUUUUUGCAUGUGUAGGUAUGUGAUUGUGUUCUACUAUUAACAUUUAACGCAACUUUUAAUAUACAUGUGUGCCAUUACAAUAAUGAGAUGCUCACUGAAUGUUUGUCGUUUAUGUAUUCAUCAAGUAAAUCCAACUUCAAUUUUUCUUGUGCUGGAGCUUUUUAUGAUUAAUUUACACAGUUAUUGUUUAAAGUUUCAUUAGUAUGUAUAUCCAUUCAAUGCUUUAGCUUUUACUUCCUUUCAGGUUACAUAAGAUGUUGCCAUUAACCACUUGAGUUUCCUCACUUUUCCUGUAAGCGACAUUACCUUACCUGAUUCACAAGAUUCCUAGGCCUAAAGACGGUAGCUUUUGGGUUGUGGCAAUUCAAGUUUUUGCGAAGCUUCAAUCUCUUAUUGUCCAUUGUGAUCUCCCUCAAUUUUCCGAAGUUCAGAAAGAGGCAUUGGUGGAGGUCUUGCUAUCUAUGGGCAGAAUAUAUACAGUCUUCCUCGCUUCCAGAAUGGAGUGAAGGUCCAUUUUAUUUUGUUUGCUGUUGAGCUGCCAUAUUACACAAGUGUUCCAACUCUAUUAUAUAUUUGUGAAGUCACAUUGAAAACCUUAUUUUCUUGUUAUGCAUGAUGUUUCUGGAGAUGUCUGCCAACAAUUAAAUCAUCCUAUAUUUUUCUUCCACCGAUUCUCUUGGCCUGGAUAGCUGGUGUUGCCUAUCUUUUUGUUGAUUGCCUACAGAAUUUCUCUCGUUAUUUCAACAGACAAGUUUCCUUGUGCUGGCAUUCUUCUCUUUCUCGAUUUCUCAACCUCUCGUAUCACUUAUGAGCUUGAGGAAGAAGGAUCAUAAGGAGUACACAACAAUGAGUUAGGCAUCAGGCAUACAUGAUAGUGGGAUUCUAUUACAGAGGGAACUGGCGAGCAUUUUAGAUCCCAACCAAUCUUUUGAUAAGCUCCUGCUGAACUGAAGGUUCUGGCAGUCCUUCAUGACAUCUGAGGACAGUGAACAGGAAGAGUAGGGAGCCUAAAAUCCAUAUACCAAUAGAUUGAACAGAAGAGACAUGAUAUCCGUAUGCUAGACUUCAGCAGGAAGGUCAUGGGUUCGAGCUAUGGAAACAACCUCUUGCAGAUAAGGCUGUGUAAUAUUAGACCUUGUGGUCGGGCCCCUCUCUGGACUUCGCGCAUAGCAGGAAUUUAAUGCACCGGGCUGCCCUUUUAUGCUCCAGCAGCCAGAUUCUCCCGUUCCUAAUGAUACGAGCUAACGUUCCGGACAAAAUUUUGCUAUGACAGAUUAGAACAUCCAGGGUGUAGUUUACCAUACUUUAUAUAAAUCAAUAUGAAAUACCUUUGAUAUCCUUCAUUGCUUUGUGAAAAAUCAAAAAUUAUGAUGGCGUCUAUGCUGACAGCCGUAACCAGGAAAAUGUAACUUACAGAAAUGAAUUAAGUAUAUUGCAGAUCAAUCAUGCACCCAAGCGUGUGGCCUAGUGAUCAUGAAGUUGGUGAAAACCAUGAGAGACCAGCGUCCAGCAGAGAUAACGCUCAGAGGUUUCUGACAAAUUGCCUUAUAGAGAUGUUGCAUGUUGGAAUAGUGAUUCAAGCUGUUAUCAAUGUGGGAACUUGCCAAAGUACUUGUGCUGAUGGGAGAUUAGGAAGUAGCAAUUAAUUAGUCGAGACGCGCAUCCUGGAGUUCUCUUGUCGAAUAAAUUCUGAUGCUUUCUUUGGAAAGUCCAUUUAAAUUUUGCUUGCCGCCUUUAGUAGUUGUCUUACUAAACUAAUAUGAAUUUGUUCUUUUAACAGAAGGAUUUGAAGUUUGAAGAAAUCCGUCUUCGAAAAGUGCAACUGAAGCACCAAAGGAACCUCUUUUCUGUUUUGUUGGUGUAGUUAUUUAAAGAAGUUCCGUUUGUACAUGUUACAAUCCAAUUUUCUCUUUUGAUAGGACUUGACUAAUACGACGAAUACAGUGCAAUUUUAGAACUUAGAACUAUAUUUGUGAUAUUCGGCUGCUUUUGUUCUCUGUAAUUAAUUAUUAAUUUUAUAUGAAUAUUGAUUAUUUUGUAUGUUU